rnacentral:rRNA from 1 species
CUCCACCGGAAAAAGAAGAGUGGCGAACGGGUGAGUAACACGUGGGUAACCUGCCCAUCAGAAGGGGAUAACACUUGGAAACAGGUGCUAAUACCGUAUAACAAUCAAAACCGCAUGGUUUUGAUUAAAGGCGCUUUCGGGUGUCGCUGAUGGAUGGACCCGCGGUGCAUUAGCUAGUUGGUGAGGUAACGGCUCACCAAGGCCACGAUGCAUAGCCGACCUGAGAGGGUGAUCGGCCNCAUUGGGACUGAGACACGNCCCAAACUCCUACGGGAGGCAGCAGUAGGGAAUCUUCGGCAAUGGACGAAAGUCUGANCGAGCAACGCCNCGUGAGUGAAGAAGGUNUUCG